rnacentral:rRNA from 1 species
GAUGAACGCUGGCGGCGUGCCUAAUACAUGCAAGUCGAGCGAACAGACGAGGAGCUUGCUCCUCUGACGUUAGCGGCGGACGGGUGAGUAACACGUGGAUAACCUACCUAUAAGACUGGGAUAACUUCGGGAAACCGGAGCUAAUACCGGAUAAUAUAUUGAACCGCAUGGUUCAAUAGUGAAAGACGGUUUUGUUGUCACUUAUAGAUGGAUCCGCGCCGCAUUAGCUAGUUGGUAAGGUGACGGCUUACCAAGGCAACGAUGCGUAGCCGACCUGAGAGGGUGAUCGGCCACACUGGAACUGAGACACGGUCCAGACUCCUACGGGAGGCAGCAGUAGGGAAUCUUCCGCAAUGGGCGAAAGCCUGACGGAGCAACGCCGCGUGAGUGAUGAAGGUCUUCGGAUCGUAAAACUCUGUUAUUAGGGAAGAACAAAUGUGUAAGUAACUAUGCACGUCUUGACGGUACCUAAUCAGAAAGCCACGGCUAACUACGUG